UUUUCCAGCAAAGGUUUAGAACGCAAAUGCUCCACAGCUGUCACCGCUUUUUAACAACAUGGCAAUACUGAUCUGUCGCAUGAUAUUUGGAUUUCUAAGUCCGAUCCAAAAUUGCUGCAAGUCACAACGAGAACCGACCGUGCAACAUUUGCAGACUGCUACUGCUAUGUCUAGCUUUUCCUUUUUUUAUUUUUCGUUUUAAAGGCUUUUUAUUCAUUCCUGCAGUUGCAUCAGAGGCUGAGAUCUCAUCUAAUGAACAACAGAUAGCAGAAGCUGUUUCAAAUCAGUGUUGGGAAACUAGGGCUGGCUGGUGAAACACAGAACCAGGUGUAGCAUUUCAGCCCAUCGUACAGGAACUGAACUGAUUUGACGAAGGCAGAGCACAAGACGUAUGAAGAACGAGCAUCUCGAGAACGAGGCCGCAUGCAGGAACCCCAUGAAGUCGUUCAAACGGCCAAUAAGUUCUCAAAAAAAAAGAAAAGGACUUUAAGAAAUGUGACACAAUAAUAACUUCUUAUGGUAAUGAAAGAAUAUACAGCUCUUUCCUUUUGGUGUUGUUUAAGCUGAUGAUCAUUCAUUUCAAGAGCAAUUUGAUAAAUCACCAUAAAACUAUAUUUCCCUAUUCUGCUAGUUUUGGUUCCAUAAGCAUGAAAAGACAAAUAUUUGUGCUCUAGCAGGCAAAUCAAUAGAUUUUGUCACAGCUUCAUGAUGUUACAUGAAAUUGUUUGCCCUCCGACAUGAGGUGUUUCGAAUGCAUUAUGCCAUGUAGGAAUAAAUCUUGUCAGUUCUCCAUUUAUUCCAUUUUGAGGCACACUUUUUUUUUUUUUCUUGUAUGUGGUUAGAUAGACGCAUUCAUAGUACAAAAAAUUCACUUUGUUUGCAGCUGAGUGUGAAGCGGGGGGUCGGAUGCGAGUGUCAGUUUCUCAAUUUCUGGUCCAGAGGAG